UUUCUCUAUUUAUAUGGGUCUUCAGGAGAUCCUCAAAUUCCCAAUAAUUGUGUAAGGGUUAGGGCUUUUAUUUCUUCUGUGUCUCCCCAAUUUUUCCGAUCUCUUAGAAUUUCAGACGCAAACCCUAACCCUAGAUUCCCAACCAUGUCGUCCAAGCAAGGUGGCAAAUUGAAGCCUUUGAAGCAAGCCAAAUCUGAAAAGAGAGAAUACGACGAGCACGAUUUGGCAAACAUUCAGAAAAAGAAGGAAGAAGAGAAGGCACUUAAAGAGCUGAGAGCGAAGGCACAACAGAAGGGGUCAUUUGGUGGUACUGGCCUGAAGAAGAGUGGGAAGAAAUGAGGGUCUAGAACCCAAACUGAAAUAGAUAAUAUUGAGUCUUGUGUUAUGAUCACAACUUAUAUUAUGAUGACAUAUCUUUCGUUUUAGUGUGAUGUCUAGAACAUCUAUUGGGAUGAUUUGAUGGUCUAGUUUCAUGCUGAAUUUGCUACAAACCUUGUGUUCAAUGUUAUUAUGUCAAGCAUAAAUAAAUUUAAGUUCUACUGUUGUGCUUUA